AGAGCAACCUCAAAGAAGGAGAUGACCCCCCAGCAGAGGCACCAGGGGGGCAGGCUUCUCCAAGCCAUCAAGCUCAGGAGGAGACAACAAAACUUCAGUUUACAGAAAGUGAGAGGGUCACGUCUGCAACAAGUAAGAGAGUACUGGAGUUCUUAGAAACCAGCCAUCGGGAAGACUCUGAGGACAUACAGAGCAUGGAAACCCAACUGAGGGGCAUGGGGUUAGCCUCAGCUAUCAUCCAUAAACAGCUGGAAGCAAUAGUUAAUCUCCUCAGCCAGCCUCCAAGGGCUGUCCCUGCACAGCCAGAUAGCUCCUUCUCUGCCACACCCUGUGUAGAAAAGGUAGAUGUUGUCACCAGUGUAUGUAGAAGCUUUAUGUGAUCCAGAGAGUGAGUUGCUCUUUGCAGUCAUAAGAGAUGGCUACUGCCUGGUGUAGCUCUCGCUUGCAGAGUGGCAAUGGAACAAGCCUUGUUAUCAGUCACCAUGGCUAGGGAGGGAAGAAAAGAGCACGUGAGGCUUAAUCUACAUAUGUUGCUGAAAUAUUGCAUCAUUGCCUUGAUUCAGAUAAUCACCCAACCCCUGAAGACCAUCUACCAGAUCCUACUGAUUAUUAUUGAACACUUUCUCGUCAACUUUCAGGACAAGAUGCAACAAGUUUCCCAUACCACAGAAGUACUCCAUGCUUCAGUCUCCACUCUUGAUUCCUUCCAAGAUCUGUCUAGACAAAUCCUCUUCCAAAUAUGGGAGAAAGUGACCAAGGAGGAGGAACGUAUGAAUGAGCUGCUGGAGUAUGUGGUGUACAGUACACCUCUCUGUUGGUUUGUGGGACCCUUCAAUGCUUUAAGAGGUAGAACAUAA
rnacentral:lncRNA from 1 species